ensembl:lncRNA
CUAUCUCCCAAUUUCAACUUUAGCUUUCAGCAAGGGAUGAAGAGUUCAUAAAGAGACACUUGAUAACCUCAGUAAAUUGUUUUCACUAAAAUAUUGCAUCAGAAUGGAAAGAAUAACUAUGAUGUGAAAAAGGGCACGGUAUAUAAGAGGUUUCUGCAAACUAAAAAGAAAAAAAAAAGAACAACCCCCAAACAAAACUGUAAAUGAAAUGAGGGAAGUGGAGGCAGCUUCAAGUUUCAGCUUAAUGCAGUACACUGGGAUUUGAUCAGUUUAAUAUGUGAUUCUGGGGGUAUACUGACUGAAAAGACAUGGCAACCUCUUGUGUUCUGAAAAAGUAUAUUAUAAAUGCCAAAAUGGUCAUCUGAUAGCAGCUUCAGUUUUCAGUUUUGUUUUGUUUCAUACACUUUUUAGUCAGAAAUGCUUCACCUGAAUUUUUUGCCCCACUUUAUAUGUAUGCAAGCUAUUGCUAUAGGUUUUGAUCAUACAGUCAUCCUUUACAGAACAACUGGCUUGCUAACAAGUGGAAAACAGAAUUUGUUAAGUUGUCUUCAGACAGCUGUGCAGGUAGAGGUAUUUGCUUGCUUGUUUGUUUGUUUGUUUAUUUAUUUACUGGGAGUGGCUUUUAACGAUCACAAUGACUCCCUUAACAGUGCUUCUGAAUAAUGUGUGUUUGCUUGCGGAGAAACAUUGUUUUUACUUAUCAUUGUAUUUCACAGACUGGAAACACACACUUUUCAUAUCUGAGUGGAUGUGGGACAUAGACUUUUGCUUGAGUAUUUAUUUGGCUUGCACGUACUGUGUUGAUGAGACAAGGACCAGGUUUUCAGGCAACGUGAAAAGGCAAACAUCCAUGUGCAUCUCCUGGCCUGUCUUCAGCUACAGCACUGAGCUUUUUAGGGAAGAUAAGGAAGGAGAAUGAAGUCCUGUUGCUACAGGAUGUACUCCAGCCAGAAUAAUCUCAACAGAGGUGAUAGCACAGCUUCUCAAGUCUUGUGGUCAUUCAGCAGCUUCUCCAGUCUCCCCAUGUUUCUAAGAGUACAGCUCUGUGGAGAAGCAGAUCUUCUGAACCACUGAAGUUGGAAUGAGUUGGAAAGAAGCUCUGGUAACUGUGGAUAAAGGAGAUUCACUCAUUGCGACACAUCCGUAAGUGGUUUGUAGAUCACUUCCAAUUAAAAUUCUUAUGCUUGUUGGUUAGGAAAACAUAUGUUUGACAGGAGCUCCUAGAUAGUAAACAUUUCCCUAAGGAACAAUAUUUUGUCUUAAGAAGGAAAACCUACCUUAAGAUUAUUUGAGGGACUGAUUAAACACAGCAGGGUUUUUUUUUUUUUUUUUUUUUUUUUUUUUUUUUUUUUGAUCAUGAUGCUUUUGACAAGAAAUUCAGCAGUUUACCAGCUCUUCUUUAGGAGUUAAGGGGAUGAGCAUUAUAAAUAAGAGCUUUUCUUAAGAUCUUCAGUUUAACAAAACUAUCUGAUGUGGCAGGUUUAAAAAUCUUUCUGCCAAUUAAGAGACAGACUUUCCCAAAGGCAGUGUCUUAAUUUUACCUUAAUCUUCUAAUUAUAUAAUGUGCAUGAGUCUUUGUGUAAAUGUUGACUCUGAUGCUAACUUCUUGAGUACUCAGUUCCUUGAGAGAAUGAUGCAAUGCCUUGGGGGUCUUGAUAUUUAAUUACUGAGAACUUUCCCAUCUAUGCAUUGUCUAG